rnacentral:rRNA from 1 species
GUGAGUCAUCGAAUCUUUGAACGCACCUUGCGCCCUUUGGCCAUUCCGAAGGGCAUGCCUGUUUGAGUAUCAUGAACACCUCAACUCUUCAUGGUUUUCCAUGAUGAGCUUGGACUUUGGGGGUCUUGCUGGCCUGCAGUCAGCUCCUCUCAAAUGAAUCAGCUUGCCAGUGUUUGGUGGGUGUCACAGGCGUGAUAACUAUCUACGCUUGUGGUUUUCCACCAGGUAACCUUCAGCAGUGGAGGUUCACUGGAGCUCACAGAUGUCUCUCCUCAGUGAGGACAGCCCUUUGAAUGUUUGAUCUCAAAUCAGGUAGGACUACCCGCUGAACUUAAGCAUAUCAAUAAGCGGA